rnacentral:misc_RNA from 1 species
GAUCAUUACUGAUUUGCUUAAUUGCACCACAUGUGUUUUUCUUUGAAACAAACUUGCUUUGGCGGUGGGCCCAGCCUGCCGCCAGAGGUCUAAACUUACAACCAAUUUUUUAUCAACUUGUCACACCAGAUUAUUACUAAUAGUCAAAACUUUCAACAACGGAUCUCUUGGUUCUCGCAUCGAUGAAGAACGCAGCGAAAUGCGAUACGUAAUAUGAAUUGCAGAUAUUCGUGAAUCAUCGAAUCUUUGAACGCACAUUGCGCCCUCUGGUAUUCCGGAGGGCAUGCCUGUUUGAGCGUCGUUUCUCCCUCAAACCGCUGGGUUUGGUGUUGAGCAAUACGACUUGGGUUUGCUUGAAAGACGGUAGUGGUAAGGCGGGAUCGCUUUGACAAUGGCUUAGGUCUAACCAAAAACAUUGCUUGCGGCGGUAACGUCUACCACGUAUAUCUUCAAACUUGAUCUCUCAAAUCCGCGUCUU